AUGGCUUCUAAAAUAACCUCUCUUAUUUGGGUUGCCCUCAUUCUUUGUGUGUUUUCGUUGUUUGCCAUCAAACUAGCUGGUGCUUCUGAGCUUCAUCCAAGAUUGUAUGAAAUGGCUAGGAGUAGAAGGCUCAUUGGAGAAGACCAGGCAGAUCCAAAUAGGAUAUGUGAGACUGGGAAAUCAAGUCUUAUAGAUCAAAACAAACAAGCAUCUGAUAACCCUCGUUGUGGCAAUUACGCCCAUCCAUGA